rnacentral:rRNA from 1 species
GUGGAGGAAGGUGGGGAUGACGUCAAGUCAGCAUGGCCCUUACUCCGGGGCUACACACGUGCUACAAUGGCCGGUACAAAGGGUUGCGAAAGCCGUGAGGUGGAGCGAAUCUCAAAAAAGCCGGCCUCAGUUCGGAUUGGAGGCUGCAACUCGCCUCCAUGAAGUCGGAAUCGCUAGUAACCGCACGAUCAGCUACGUUGCGGUGAAUACGUUCCCGGGCCUU